CUUACAUCUUAGCCUGUCAACUUGCGAGCAAAAAUGUGAGAGUAAAUCCUAUACGGAACAUCAAUUAGAAUAAGUAAAUACAGGGACAAAAUUUUGCAAUGAAAAUAAAAGUGCUCAAAAUUUUGAUAUGAACCAAAACUCUUGUUAUUUCUUAGAAGUUAGAAGCAGUAUAAUUUUGAUACUUGACACUGUCAAAAUUGUUUCCUGGGAACAGCAUGGAAAAUAACCUUCUCAUGGUGCCAUCAG
rnacentral:misc_RNA from 1 species